rnacentral:rRNA from 1 species
CCUACGGGGGGCUGCAGUGAGGAAUAUUGGUCAAUGGGCGAGAGCCUGAACCAGCCAAGUCGCGUGAAGGAUGAAGGAUCUAUGGUUUGUAAACUUCUUUCAUAUGGGAAUAAAGUGAGGCACGUGUUCCUUUUUGUAUGUACUAUAUGAAUAAGCAUCGGCCAACUCCGUGCCAGCAGCCGCGGUAAUACGGAGGAUCCGAGCGUUAUCCGGAUUUAUUGGGUUUAAAGGGUGCGUAGGUGGUUAUUUAAGUCAGCGGUGAAAGUUUGUGGCUCAACCAUAAAAUUGCCGUUGAUACUGGUAGACUUGAGUAUAUUUGAGGUAGGCGGAAUGCGUGGUGUAGCGGUGAAAUGCUUAGAUAUCACGCAGAACUCCGAUUGCGAAGGCAGCUUACGAAACUGUAACUGACACUGAUGCACGAAAGCGUGGGGAUCAAACAGGAUUAGAUACCCUUGUAGUC